CGGUCCAAUCCUUAAAGUCAUCCUCAGUUCGGACUGGGGUCUGCAACCCGACCCCACGAAGCUGGAUUCGCUAGUAAUCGCGCAUCAGCCAUGGCGCGGUGAAUACGUUCCCGGGCCUUGUACACACCGCCCGUCAAGCCAUGAAAGCCGGGGGCGCCUGAAGUCCGUGACCGCGAGGGUCGGCCUAGGGUGAAACCGGUGAUUGGGGCUAAGUCGUAACAAGGUAUC
rnacentral:rRNA from 1 species